AAAAAGAGCUUCAUAUAUACAUACACAUGAUUGCAUAUUUCAAGAAUAAUCUAUAGAUUGCAUAAAAUAGAGAUUCUAGAAUCGUAUUUGACUAAAGGUAUAAUUAUUUUCAUUUUAUUUCUUGACAGUUAUCCUGGAAACUGAGCAAUAAAUUCAUGAAAUUGACGGUCUAAAUUUAGUCUUCCAUGAAUAAUUCUGGAAGCUGGAAGCCUGUGAUCAAGGUGCCGGUGUAGUGAGAUUCGGACGAGGGCUUUCUUCCAGGUUGUAUGUAGAUGGCCAUAUUGCCAGUGUAUCGUCACAUGGCAGAAAGAUGUAGAAUUGAAAAUCUGGAGCAGGACAGAAGUUGUUGUUAAAGAGGCAUGUUUCUUCAACACUCCUGGCGUUUCCUCCCAUCCAUGCGCAGAGAAAGCUACGAGGGUAGUUCCUGACCCCUCUUUGCCUUGAUGCUCUGACUUCCAGGGGUAGUUCUCAGCCCCGCUUUGCCAGGCUGUUGGCUGCAGCAGAUGAAGGCACUACCAGAGUAAUAAUGCUUGGGACUACUGGUGUAAUUGUGUAACAGGGACUCAGCGUUUGGAAAUCUCUUUGGUUCUAUACCAAGUUAAAACCUCCAAAUAGCCUCAACCAGUAAUUGUGGUAAUAUCUUCAUGCCCCUCCUUACACACAUCUUUAAUUUUUCAUGUGGUUCAGAACAAAUGUGACAAAGAAGUUUAUUAUUUUACAGCUUACACUUUUGUUCCUGCC
rnacentral:lncRNA from 1 species